rnacentral:rRNA from 1 species
AGGGUGUAAACGCUGCAGACUUGGUGUUGGAAGUCCUUUGGGGGGCGAUUCAGUGCCGGAGAGAAGUUGUUAAGUCUGCUACUUGGGGAGUACGUCCGCAAGGAUGAAACUUAAAGGAAUUGGCGGGGGAGGCACCGCAACGGGAGGAGCGUGCGGUUUAAUUGGAUUCAACACCGUAAAACUACACCAGGGAAGACUGUUACAUGAAGGCCGAGAUGAAGACUCUGCUAGAUUUUCAGAGAGGUGGUGCAUGGCGUCAGUGACU